rnacentral:rRNA from 1 species
AGCUCCAAUAGCGUAUACUAAAAUUGCUGCAGUUAAAAAGCUCGUAGUUGGAAUCCUGGGUGCGGUGUGGCCCGGUCUGCCGUGAAGGUGUGCACUGGCUACGCCCCCCGCAAUCGCUCAGUAGCGCCCAUCUGAUCUUAACUGGUUGGGUGGGGCCGCUCUGGGCCGUUUACUGUGAGUAAAUAAGGGUGUUUAAAGCAAGCAAUCGCUCUGAAUUCAAUAGCAUGGGAUAAUAGAACACGAGGCGCUGUGGUUUCGGUUGGUUGCCACAGCGCCUAAUGAUCAAUAGGAACGGUCGGGGGUAUUCGUAUUGAAUUGUCAGAGGUGAAAUUCUUAGAUUUAUGCAAGACGAACUACUGCGAAAGCAUCUACCAAGGACGCUUUCA